rnacentral:rRNA from 1 species
UACGUAGGGUCCGAGCGUUGUCCGGAAUUAUUGGGCGUAAAGGGCUUGUAGGCGGUUUGUCGCGUCGGAAGUGAAAACUCAGGGCUUAACCCUGAGCCUGCUUCCGAUACGGGCAAACUAGAGGGAUGCAGGGGAGAACGGAAUUCCUGGUGGAGCGGUGGAAUGCGCAGAUAUCAGGAGGAACACCGGUGGCGAAGGCGGUUCUCUGGGCAUUACCUGACGCUGAGAAGCGAAAGCGUGGGGAGCAAACAGG